AAGCUUAGCACUCUCGUGCAUGUGUAACGUCGGGGCGCAAAAUCAUUGUAUACGACUUGAAUACUGGUCAGGGGGUUGUAAUCAUAGAGCAGCUCUUCGCUGCGAUCUGUUGAGACUUAGCCCUUGAUCGGAUGAUUGU
rnacentral:rRNA from 1 species